rnacentral:rRNA from 1 species
GAACGCUGGCGGCAUGCCUUACACAUGCAAGUCGAACGGCAGCGCGGACUUCGGUCUGGCGGCGAGUGGCGAACGGGUGAGUAAUACAUCGGAACGUACCCUGUUGUGGGGGAUAACUAGUCGAAAGAUUAGCUAAUACCGCAUACGACCUGAGGGUGAAAGUGGGGGACCGCAAGGCCUCACGCAGCAGGAGCGGCCGAUGUCUGAUUAGCUAGUUGGUGUGGUAAAGGCCCACCAAGGCGACGAUCAGUAGCUAGUCUGAGAGGACGAUCAGCCACACUGGGACUGAGACACGGCCCAGACUCCUACGGGAGGCAGCAGUGGGGAAUUUUGGACAAUGGGGGCAACCCUGAUCCAGCAAUGCCGCGUGUGUGAAGAAGGCCUUCGGGUUGUAAAGCACUUUUGUCCGGAAAGAAAUCGCGCUGGUUAAUACCUGGCGUGGAUGACGGUACCGGAAGAAUAAGCACCGGCUAACUACGUG